GCCUUUAUGAUGAAAUGGUAGACAUAUCGACUUCAAAAGUCGACGCUGAAAAGCAUGUCGGUUCAAAUCCGACUAGAGGCA
rnacentral:tRNA from 1 species